CUGAAGUGUAAGCUUCAUUAGCUUUACAUUAAAUCUGCCCCUUAACACAACUUUCCCAGACAGGGAAUUUACUUUUUUGAAGAAAAAAAAAAAAACCAAAAACACUUUUAUUGAGAUAUAACUUACAUAGCAUACAAUUCAUGUAUUUAAUGUGUAUGAUCCACUGGUUUUUAGCAUAUUUACAGAGUUGUGCAACCGUCACCCCAAUUUAUUGUAGAACAUUUUCAAAACCCCAAAAAGACAUCCUGUACCCAUUAGCAGCCAUCAUCACUUCCCCAACCCACCCAGCCCUGGGAAGCUACGAAUCUACUUUCUCUAUAUAUAGAUUUGCCAGUUUUGGGCAUUUGAGAGAAAUGGAAUCAUACAAUGGAUGGUCUUUUGUGGUUGGCUUCUUUCACUUAGCCUAAUGUUUUCAGCCUUCAUCCACGUUGUAGCAUGUGGCUACAUUUUUUAUUGCUUAAUAAUAUUCCAUUAUAUGAAUAUGCCACACUUUUAAAAUCCACUCAUCAAUGGAUAAAAUGUAUUAAUUCUUUAAAUCUCCUUUUUUUAUUUUUUAUUUUAUUAUACUUUAAGUUCUAGGGUACAUGUGCACAACGUGCAGGUUUGUUACAUAUGUAUACAUGUGCCAUGUUGGUUUGCUGCACCCAUUAACUCAUCAUUUACAUUAGGUAUUUCUCCUAAUGCUAUCCCUCCCCCAUCCCCCCACCCCACAACAAGCCCCGGUGUGUGAUGUUCCCUGCCCUUUAAAUCUCCUGGAGACACAGUUGAUGGCAUCCCUAGGGAAAGGGGAAAUCCUAUUUCCUUAGCUUCAUCCUUAGCCCUUCCUCUUCUGUUUCCUCCUUUCCCAUCCCCAGAUUCUGGUUGUAUUGGAAAUUAAGAGAGAAUCAGAGCCGGUGAGCUGGGUACCAUCAUUUCCAUUGUGUUACUGAGAACUCCUGGUUCUUGAGCUCCAUGACACAGGCCCUGCCUGUGGGGUGAGCUGGGUAGCAGCUGCCAUUCUUCUGCUUGCUGGUAGGAUUUGGUCCAAGGAAUGGGCCGGCCCAGGGCACUGAUGGA
rnacentral:lncRNA from 1 species